rnacentral:rRNA from 1 species
GUAACGCGUGGGAACCUUCCCAGUGGUACGGAAUAGCCCAGGGCAAACUUGGGGUAAUACCGUAUAAGCCCCUAGGGGGAAAGAUUUAUCGCCAUUGGAUGGGCCCGCGUCGGAUUAGCUAGUUGGUGAGGUAACGGCUCACCAAGGCGACAUCCGUAGCUGGUCUGAGAGGAUGAUCAGCCACACUGGGACUGAGACACGGCUCCAGACUCAUACGGGAGGCAGCAGUGGGGAAUAUUGGACAAUGGGCGCAAGCCUGAUCCAGCCAUGCCGCGUGAGUGACGAAGGCCUUAGGGUUGUAAAGCUCUUUUGGCGGGGACGAUAUGACGGUACCCGCAGAAUAAGCUCCGGCUAACUUCGUGCCAGCCGCCGCGG